AGUGAACGCUGGCGGUAGGCCUAACACAUGCAAGUCGAACGGCAGCACAGUAAGAUCUUGCUCUUACGGGUGGCGAAUGGCGGACGGGUGAGGAAUACAUCGGAAUCUACUUUUUCGUGGGGGAUAACGUAGGGAAACUUACGCUCAUACCGCAUACGACCUACGGGUGAAAGCAGGGGAUCUUCGGACCUUGCGCGAUUGAAUGAGCCGAUGUCGGAUUAGCUAGUUGGCGGGGUAAAGGCCCACCAAGGCGACGAUCGGUAGCUGGUCUGAGAGGAUGUACACCGCCAUGGAAGCUGAGACGCGACCCUGGCCCUGAGGGAAGGCCCAGACGGGUAAGGUGGGCAACGGGGGGGAACCUUGAUCAAGGAGCGCAGGUCGGAUGAAGAAGCCCUUCGUGUGGAAAGACCUUCUGUUGGGAAAGAAAAGCAGCAGGUUAAUACGCCGCUGUUCUGACGGUACCCAAAGAAUAAGCACCGGCUAACUUCGUG
rnacentral:rRNA from 1 species